UCCAAUUUUUGUUUUUACAAUAAUACUUUGUGGUUUGAUCUACUCUGAUAAUUGUUUCUUGCUUUCGGGAUAAUUUGUAAGACUGUAUGUGCUUGUGCCUGUAUUAUGAUCACUACUAAUAUUUUGAGUUGCACUUAGUGAUUGUAAAAUCUAUAUGAAAUGAAGUGAGGAGGAUUAGCAUCUUGCAAAGUUUUAUGUCAUUGAUCCACAGGAAUGUAAUGAGUUUCCUGUUGUCAUAUUUACACUUCCUUCUUACGUAGGGUGGUUUUUUGGUAAAUUUGGUUGGCAUAGUCAAUUUUGAAUGUAUGGCUGCGUUUUGAAGCAUUUCCUUGGAGAUGUUGCUUGCGCGACCUAAAACCCUAUUAAUGUUUUUCUAUGUAGAGAUGAGUUUGUUUCAUUAAAUCUCAUUAACAUUCUUUGCACUAGUAAACCUUGUAUCUAGACAGCCCAUUACAAUCCGCAAGGUAUAUAUUCAAACAAUUAGGGGGGAAGGGGAAUGCCUAGUUACACUGGCUUCAAAAGUACGUCAUCUAGCUUUCUUUGCUAAACUGUCCGCCAAUUGGUUGCGAUCCCUUCUCAUGUAGCUGAUUCUAAGCUCUUGGAAACACUAUGUGGGGACUCCCUACAUUGGUAAAAAAGAUCAAAAUACAUGCCAGUGUCAAUAUUUUCUCUCUGGAGCAGCUGAGUUGCCUUUUAGCAAUCUGCGAAUAUAAUGAUUUUUUCAUAGCUUUUCCUCUUAGCACUCUUCAUCCCUUCCAUUAUGCUUGUUAGCUCCGCAUGAAGAGCAUUGAGGAUUUGAGGAUGUAGGUUUGCCUUUGGAAGCUGAAAAUCCAGGUUCCCAGGUAGUCACGAAUAACUCCUGCAACACUGGCUGUGCACACAGGAUUAACAAGGAUGCAUCAACAUACACAUGGACUAACUCUUGAUUAAGGGCGCAAAUGGGGUGACCGAGGUAUGAUGGGUUGGCGGGAUUGGGCUGGCUAGUCAUGGAGGCGUGAAAUUCCCCACCUAAAUUUCUUGCUUUGUUUAUGAGAGAAAGGGCCAAAGGGGGUCUUGGUGGGAUAUCGUCAUAUUAUUCCUGUUUUUCCAGAUUUCAAAGCAAAGGAAAGGAAAUAGCAGGUUCCACGAUAAACCCCAACUCUCAUGAUGAACUGAAUGUUUAACUGGACCAAAGAUUUGACAUCCCCCUCCCUUAGCUAGGGCAGAAAGGAUGGUCCACUAUACCAUGGAGAAGCUUUUGGUGGGGAUCCUAUCUCACCAUAGAAGCCACAAGAAGAAGGCAUAUUUUGGGAGGGGGUGGGUCUUUGUUUUCCAUAGCCAACAGGAUUAUAAACGGAGAGAUGGGAGUGUCAUGGUCAGACGCUUUUGGUUCAGGCAGGCUGUGGAUUCUGUGAAUACGUGUGGGAAGAGAGAAGGAAAGAUGAUCGAAAUUCCAAGUACUCUCCACUAUACUGGUUCUAAGCGUCUUGACUUCCUCUACGGAAGAAAGAGGCCCCUGGUCAAAGCUACAGAGAGUCCCACUACUCAUCCGAUGUUCUCUCUAUUUCCGCAUUCCACAUACUAUAGAAGCUAAAAACUUCCACCCAUGGUCAAUACAUUGAAUCUAUUCUGGUGGCUUUAGCAGAAUUAUUCUCUAGACUACCUAUACACAAAGAAGCUUGGAAGUGGCUUUAGCAGAAUUAUUCUCUAGACUACCUAUACACAAAGAAGCUUGGAACUGCUUCAAAUUAGUGUGCAUCUUAUGUAUGAACUUGUGAUCAUAUGUGGAAAUGUUGUACUACUGUACAAAUAAAAGUAAUAGCCUCUUGAAAUU